GACGAACGCUGGCGGCGUGCUUAACACAUGCAAGUCGAACGAAGAGCGAUGGAAGCUUGCUUCUAUCAAUCUUAGUGGCGAACGGGUGAGUAACGCGUAAUCAACCUGCCCUUCAGAGGGGGACAACAGUUGGAAACGACUGCUAAUACCGCAUACGAUCUAAACUCGGCAUCGAGGAUAGAUGAAAGGUGGCCUCUACAUGUAAGCUAUCACUGAAGGAGGGGAUUGCGUCUGAUUAGCUAGUUGGAGGGGUAACGGCCCACCAAGGCGAUGAUCAGUAGCCGGUCUAAGAGGAUGAACGGCCACAUUGGGACUGAGACACGGCCCAGACUCCUACGGGAGGCAGCAGUGGGGAAUCUUCCGCAAUGGACGAAAGUCUGACGGGGCAACGCCGCGUGAGUGAUGACGGCCUUCGGGUUGUAAAGCUCUGUUAAUCGGGACGAAAGGCCUUCUUGCGAAUAGUGAGAAGGAUUGACGGUACCGGAAUAGAAAGCCACGGCUAACUACGUG
rnacentral:rRNA from 1 species